AAGACACCAAAAAAGAAGAAUUAAGGGCAGUGGGUCCCAUUCACAACAGCCCCAAAAUUAAUGUACAAUUCCACUAUCUUUCCACCAAGAAAGGCACCUUCCCUUCAAUCACUCUCUUUUUCCUCUUUAACCCUUAUUACACUGUGUGUGUGUGUGUGAGAGAGAGAGGCCCUUUCCCCACUCCAUAACCACUCGUUUCCAUUGAACAACAAAAACAUAGCCCUCUUUACAGUCAACUCUUUACCCAUCUUCUGUCCCUUUGUUUUGUCCCUUUUGUCUCUCACCAAACCUUUCAAUUCUUGUGUAAUAUUUUCCUAACAUUCUUGCCCCCUUUUUUUUUUGCUUUUUAAAAACAGUUUUUCUUGUAAAUUUUGAAUGUUAGAGCUAAGUGAAGAACAAUUGCAGAAAGUUUGAACCGGAAAGGUGGAAAAGUUUCUAUUUUUCAAUGUUUUACUUUUUUUCCUUCUAAAUUAACUCAUAUUUGGAUGGAAAAAAAGUGGGUUAUAGUUUUUGGGUGUUUUGCAAACCUCUUUCCCAUUUUUUGUAUUGCCUCAAGUAUUAUUGCCCUUUUUGCGAAUGAACCUUUUUUAUACUUGAAAAUCUGGAAAUUUAAGGUCAAUGAAGAGCUGCUACUGAAAAUUUGUACGCCUUGCCUUAUAUGACUUAUUUGAUAUUUGUAAAUCUAGAAUGCUAGGGUUAAUGAAGAACCACUACUGAAAAUUUGUUUAUAUUUGGAGAAAAAAAAGUGGUUAAUUGGUGUUUGGAGAAAAGGGGAGAAAAAUUACCUCACUGCUUUGAGUUGAGUGGUAG
rnacentral:lncRNA from 1 species